CAUAUCAAAUUUUUGUAGUCAAUUAGCGUUUGUGAGCUCAAUUACAGAUAAUUACGUACGAUUAGGUGCGCCCCACCAGGGAUAUCAAAUGACCCAUUUAUACUACUGAAUUUGAUAACAAGAUAAACGUUCAACUAUCGGAUAUCCUGUUGUUGUUGGACCACGAAACUUUGUUGUAACUUAACAUCAACAAAUGUUUGUAGACGCGACAGACUACAACCAACUUACGUAUUUCAUAAAAUUGAAUCACGUGAUAACAUUGACGGAAAAAGACCCUUAAAGGCAAACGGACCUACGGCCUAUCUGACGGUCAGUAUUCUGUACAUGGUCAUCGGUAAUGCGAGGGGCAGAGGCAAGACGUUGCCUACUGCUGAGGGCUCUACUAAAACCUCGUAAAAUAGGAAGUUGUUAGCACUCUGAAAACAUCGCAGUUUACUCCACAGCCGGAUAGUACGUGGCGAAAAAUAUUUCUGGCAAGGCACUAUAGAUGAACACAGUGUUUCUAGGUUGAAUGAAAUAACCGAAGUGAUUCGACGAACAAAAUGAUUCCUCAGAGUAUUCCUCGUAGAACAAAUAAUACUUGAGAUUAAUACUUGAGAUCUUUUCUUAGACCGUGUCUUUUGGUCAAGGUUAUUUCAUAUCAACAUAAUUAAGCAGGAUAAAACAUACAUACCCAGAAAAUAAAUAUUUUUACAUUUAGGGUUAUCGUAGGUGCAAGUGUGAGGCCAUGAAGAUAACACAGAGGAAUUAAAUUGUUUUAUAAGAACUGACUUCAUUUAUUAUUUUUAAUUUUAAGUAAUGUUAUCAAAUUAAAAUAAAACCAGUUACGAAAAUAUUAAGAAUAGGUACAAUUAGUGGUAGAGCUCAAUGAAGCUUAGUCGGUACAAAUUCAUCAAUUCAAUUUGUAAUAAUGUCAUUUUUAUUAAAAUAAAUCAAUUUUUGUAUAUUAAA